UCACUUUCUAGAAUUAUAACAGUUUAUUAAGUCAGAAGAGAAAACGUUGCCAAGUCCAAACCUGGAAAAAUUCAUCAAUACUUUGCCAACAAACUUCCACAAAAUGCGUGAUCACAGAAUGGCAUUGCACUCAGUAAUAAUUCUCUUCACCUUGGCAUGCAUUGCAAACCUUUCUGAACAGAGCUGUGGCGAACAAAAAUCAUCCGAGAUGCAUUUCGUCCUGAUGGGGCAUGCAUAUAAUUCAAGCCAGGUCGCAGAUUACCCGUCAUGCCUGAAGAUUUGUAUGAGGGAAGCAAACUGUGUCAGUUUUAACUUCAACUUCUACACCCAAACAUGUGAAUUAAACAACAAGAUAAAAGCGACAGCGCCUGGCAGUUUUAAAGCCAUCGAUUACAGCGUGUACACAGAAAUGCUCAAAUAAGCAGUUGAUAUUAUAAAGUGACACUCGACUGUUGUAACAAGAUAAAUUUCUUAAGGACAUAAGCGAAGAAAUCGUAAUUAUUUUGUAGCGUAGAGCAAUUCUCGAUUUAAAGUCGAAAUUAGUAUGGGACGGCAGUAGUUUCCGUUCACUACUCUCUAUGAUUGGUCUACGAAACUUGUGAUAGUUUGUGAGUAGGUCCUCGUUAUUCAGAGCAGUGUUUCCUCGCCCGCAAGUAUGAUGUCAUGAAUUUUCGUGGAACCAAUGGCACUCAUUCGUGUUUUUGCUUUUCUUUCUUCAAUUGCGAUAAUGGGGCAGAAGUCAAAUUAAUUGUUUUCUCCAAAAAUGGUCAUUUUCAUGCUUGUGUGCGUCCUUGAUUUUCACACGAAGAAAGCAUCAAACUUGUCGAA